GCCCCCUGGCACUGAGCAAAAUGGCACCUGGUUGGUGGUGUUGUUCUUAGCAGUCAGGGGCAGAGAGGAUGGCAGUCUUUUGCUCAUCCUAGAUUGAUGCCUGGCUUGGUAGCCAAAGCUGUCUUAUGAUUAGGACUCAUAA